rnacentral:snRNA from 1 species
AUAUUAGCAUGGCCCCUGUCCUAACGAUGACACGCUCAAUCAAAGAGAAGCUACCAAUUUUU